ACUCCACGAAUUUGUGUGGGGAUUAUACCGUUCUGCACUUGAGAGUUCCAUACAGUCAUCUCGUCCUCCGACAGCAUAAAUUAGAUUAUUAAAUACAGCACAGCCUAAAUGCUUACGUCUCGUAGACAUAGGAGAUAUUUGAAACCACUUGUUUUGCCUUGGAUCAUAUCUUUCCACUGUAUUUAAAGGCGACUGUCCAUCAGACCCGCCGAUGGCAUAUAAAUAACCGCCUAAUACAGCAACAGCAACACCAAGUCUUCUGGUAGUCAUUGGUGAUACUUUAGACCAUUUAUUUUCUUUAGGAUCGUACCUAAACAAAAUCGAUGAUUAAUACAAAAUUAAUGGUCUUACUGUUCGAAUAUUUCGAUCGCGCUACGAUCUUGAUCCCACUUUGUACGUUUAUUUCCAUGACAGCAUACCUUUCGACGUGAUUUAAACAUUGUACACCAUCCUGACCACCCACAGCAUAAAGAAAACCAUCCAAUACCGCGACACCCACACUCGUCCGACAAGACGUAGUUGGCGCCACAUCACACGACCACUGGUUCGUUUGGGGAUCGUAUCUUUCGAUACUAUUUAAAUAGCUUUGCCCGUCGUGACCGCCCACCGCAUACAAUAAGUCAUUCAGUACUGCAACUCCUACACCGCAUCGUCUUUUACUCAUCGGUGCAACCAUUUUCCAGUCUGCGGUAUUCGGAUCGAAUCUUUCAACGCUCGCAAUCGCGUCGCCGGAACACCAUCCUCCGACGGCAAACAACACCUCACCGCGUCUCGUUGGUUUCCUGGGGCGUGUUCUAGGACCUUGCAUCAACGGCCUUUCUUGGGGAAGCAACAAGUAAUUCUUUGCCUCGUCCACCAAGUCUCUGCACGCAUCGUCGGAUCGCACUAGAAGAUCAGACCCUACGGUGCCAACUAAAAAUUUUGGACUAAGAAGUGGUAGUCGGACGUGCUGAAGAACUUGCGCUAAAUGUUGUCUCCUCUCGGUAACAUUGUAUUUAACCCAAUUCAUCACCGCGCUAAACACUUGUUCCUCUGUCCGCACGUUCAGCUCAUCCGAAGAGAUAAUAUCUACUAACUGGCCGACGGGUAGUAACAGAAAUUCUUCGCUUUCCAUUACCUGUUUGAAUAUAACAUUAAUUAGCAUGAAAGAAUACAUUGAAACGGGACAAUCCAGAAAGAGGUACAUACUUCCUGAAAAUUAUGUUGCGUGAACUUGUCCGCGAUUCGUAAAAGUUCUCGACAAGAAUGAGUGUCCGCGAACGCUCGUAUACCUAGACAAUUAGAGGGGUCGAGUUGGCGUUUGAGAAACUCGCAACAUAUAUCUUGAAUUUCUGCUAGCUGGAGAAGGCACGCUGCUGGAAGGAGAGUUUGAACAUUUGCUUCUUCGACGAUGAUGUGUGAAGUAUAACAAAAGUCUAUUAAUAAUUCCAUUGCCAUUUCGUCUAUGUCACGAAUCGUCACUUCAGUUUGUCGAGAUUCCGCCAACUCCCCAGUAAACAUUGCUCUGCAAGAUAUACGCAUACAGAAUAUCAGCUGUGAUUUUAACUAGACCGGAAGAUCGGUGGUUACAGAUUGUAUGGUUUACCUGAAGUACGGACUACACGCUGAUAGGAUGACACGAUGUGCAAAUAUCUUCCUAGAGCCGACAUUGAGCACGACAUCGCAGAGCUCCCGAUGCCGACGAAGAACGUUCAGUUCUGUGAGCGUAGCACGAGGAUGUUUUUCAGAGGUAUGGCUGAGACGGGCUGGAGAAGGCGCGCGUUCCACAACCAUUUCACCCAUCCUCUGCGAGGAUGGGGCGCCCGCGGUCGCUCUCCCCGAGGCGCCCCUCGACCCCCCUAGCUGGAGGCGCAGUGGGGGUGACGCCCAACCCCACACCGAGUCUAUCUGCAACACCAUUCACCAACCACCGCAGCUCUGGAACGUGCCCGCACUAGGACCCCUAAUCUUCUUUGAUUCCUGAAAUUCAAACGUAUAUUCUUUUAUUCAAUCCCUGAGCAAUCGAAUGAUUCGUCAGUAUGAUUUAAAAUGAUUACAUAGCUAUCUAUUUAUACAGCAAAGCAGUUUAUAACGAGUUGAUAUUUGAAAUUGCUUAACGUACAAAAUGCGUUUAGGUACAUACAGAUAAGAUUACAGUUCUAAUAAUAGUGCGUUAAUACAUUCAAUCCGAGACAAUUCGCCUGUGGAUUUUCAAGCUGUACUUGUGUUAGAUAAUGGGAUCUACUACUGGGCAUUAGAGAGAUAAAAGUAGGCCUGGCAUUGAACGUAUUAACAAUCUUUUGCAGUGAAAUAAAUUCCAAGUAAUUCGGAGCAAGUUUAUAAUCCUUUCCAUUUAUAAAAUGGAAAUGUUUCUGGCAUGGAAACUCAAGUAUGCGAAUCCUUUAAAAUGAAGUCUUUGAUACCAACAUAUAUCUUGCAAAAAACAAAGAGGAGGAGAAAGAGAGAGAAAGAGAGAGAGAGAGAGAGAGACAGCCAUAAGGGGAAUGUUUUUACAGAUAAACACUGUUUGACAUGCUGAAUAAAUGACAGAAGCUGUAUCAAGCAUUUCUGAUACGUACACUAUCGUGUUUGCACUCGGAACGUGUGAAAGUGUUUUUUAAAAAACUCGACGAUCCGUAGACGCGAGAAAGUGUGAUAGAAACAUCGUUGACACUCACUGUAUGAUGACUGUGUGAUGUUUUACGACGCACGGCCGACAAAAACUGAUGAGAUCUCUACGGAAUUCAGGUAGUUUCCCCGCUGGCGAGUAAUAAACAAAGAUCUGAUAUGGA